GGCAGGCCUAACACAUGCAAGUCGAGCGGUAGAGAGAAGCUUGCUUCUCUUGAGAGCGGCGGACGGGUGAGUAAUGCCUAGGAAUCUGCCUGGUAGUGGGGGAUAACGUUCGGAAACGGACGCUAAUACCGCAUACGUCCUACGGGAGAAAGCAGGGGACCUUCGGGCCUUGCGCUAUCAGAUGAGCCUAGGUCGGAUUAGCUAGUUGGUGAGGUAAUGGCUCACCAAGGCGACGAUCCGUAACUGGUCUGAGAGGAUGAUCAGUCACACUGGAACUGAGACACGGUCCAGACUCCUACGGGAGGCAGCAGUGGGGAAUAUUGGACAAUGGGCGAAAGCCUGAUCCAGCCAUGCCGCGUGUGUGAAGAAGGUCUUCGGAUUGUAAAGCACUUUAAGUUGGGAGGAAGGGUUGUAGAUUAAUACUCUGCAAUUUUGACGUUACCGACAGAAUAAGCACCGGCUAACUCUGUGCCAGCAGCCGCGGUAAUACAGAGGGUGCAAGCGUUAAUCGGAAUUACUGGGCGUAAAGCGCGCGUAGGUGGUUUGUUAAGUUGGAUGUGAAAUCCCCGGGCUCAACCUGGGAACUGCAUUCAAAACUGACUGACUAGAGUAUGGUAGAGGGUGGUGGAAUUUCCUGUGUAGCGGUGAAAUGCGUAGAUAUAGGAAGGAACACCAGUGGCGAAGGCGACCACCUGGACUAAUACUGACACUGAGGUGCGAAAGCGUGGGGAGCAAACAGGAUUAGAUACCCUGGUAGUC
rnacentral:rRNA from 1 species